AAAACCAAUUGUUGUAGUGACCUGCAAAAAAAGGUAAAAGCUCAUCAAUAACUAAAUGCAGCUACGGUAACUUCUACUGUGACUUCAAACACGCCACUGCAUUGUUCUGCUAGCGCCUAAUUAGAAGAAUUUCUAAUGAUUGAUUUUACAAAAUGUUAUUUCUCCAUAUCACUUCAAAACACAUCACAAGAAAGGGAUUGUCUAACCUUGAUCAAAGUGGGUUUGU
rnacentral:misc_RNA from 1 species